rnacentral:lncRNA from 1 species
CCCCACUCGCACUAUCAUUUUCCAUGUUCAGUGGACCGUGAAAUUGGGGUAAAAACUCUAAUUUGGCAUUUAAAUUAGAAAGAUCAUAUCAUAGGGAACAUGUCCACAAAGUUUGAAGUCGAUUGGACUUCAACUUCAUCAAAAACUACCUUGACCAAAAACUUUAACCUGGAGCGGGACAGACGGACGGACGGACGAACGGACGCACAGACCAGAAAACAUAAUGCCCCUCUACUAUCGUAGGUGGGG